GCAAAAUCACCAGUGUUAAAUUUUCAGGGAUGGUGUUAAAUACACAGUGUUGAUGUUGUUUUAACACUAUCUGGUAAUAAAAUAACACUGCCAUUGCUAGGCCAGUGUUAUAUUCACGACAGUGUCAGUGUAAAACAAGGGUGUUAUCAGAUUUCACUCUGAGCGGUGUAAAUCAAGCCACGCCUCCACUAAACAUUUCCUGUCAGGGAUUUUACCGCCAUUUUCUUUCACUGGAGGACUGAAGAGAUCAGAUGCUAGUUUGGUGAAGUUCACAAUGAGUGCUUCAAAUCAUUCAGAAGAGAUGCUGUUUUUAGGGCAGUUUAUUAAAGAAGACCUGACAUGGAUGACUUCCAAUGAGAAACAACUGCUAAUACUUAUAUAAAUUCAUUACAGAAGGACCCUACCAGACUAUAUUUGAAUACGGCAUACCCAUGAAUUCUGGAACUGUUAUUCCUUAACCCAGUUUGGAGGAUAAGAGCUUACCAACUAGUUAUAAAUAUGCUGAGGUGAUGUAUUGCAAAAUAGCCAACAUACAACAAUAUGGAUGACCCUCUGUCUGGUCAACAGGAGUUUAAAUAUGGACGGGACAGUGAUGUGGCAGCUCUUCCCUGGCUCAUUCACCUCUUGCCUUCAUUUGUGAAAGGAAGAAAGACUGGAGAGGGUCAAUGUGCAACUGAAGCUACUGAUUGUGCUGUGUGAUGAGCAUCAAUCCAUGCUUUGAGGGGGAUAAAUCAGCACAGCCCUGCCUGCACUGCGUUGGGAACAGAAGUUGCAUCCAGAAUUUUUGCAUCAUUCUGGACCAAAAAGCCAUUCCCUCCAUGAUGAAGACCACUGAUGCAGCCUUCCACUACAUCAUGAGUAAAACAACUACAGAACUAAAUACCAGGUUGGAACGUAUUUAAGAAAAAUGAAACGUCUUUUGAAUUGAAAUGUCUGUUUUGUUAUGGAAAAAUCUUUAGUAUUGUGAAGGAUAGGCAUUUCUGCCUGCCAGUAAGGUAAUUGCAGUGUAUUUUAAUGUUCAAGUUUUGAGUAGGGUGGCAAAUUUUUUUUUUAACUCAUUUGAUUUAUUAAAGACCUUAUAAUAAGUGGUUUUCAUGUCACUGCGCUGUGGUAUAAGAUAACUUUCAUUAUUCCAUACUGUAUUAUGUUUUUUAAUUGUAGCUGAGGUAUUUAAAUAAGCAGUGUUAAAUGCAAAGUGUUGUGUGUAUCAAUGUAAAUAUUAAAUGUGAUGUACU